rnacentral:lncRNA from 1 species
AUAUAAUUGCUAUUACUUGUUGGGCACUCAAAUGCUCAUCCUUGCUUAAACUAAAUGUUUUCAGUUACGUACGAUCGACCUGAAGGCUCAGGCACGAACAAGGGAAAAGAAAAGCUGUUCGAAUGAGAUUUAGUAUGAGUUAAUGGUUAUAGUUAGUAAGACAAUGGAAUCUAUUGUCAAGUAUUGUAAAGAAUGUAUUUGAAGGUCAUGUACCUGGGGAAGUAAACUUUGAUGUAUGUAAAUUAAGUUCGAAUGUAUUAUUAUUUAGUAUUAUUCAGCUUAAAGAAAUGGUAUCGUGGAGAACCGAGUUCGGGUUUCAAGUACCUAGAUUUGGGGUCGCCACAAUAUGUACUCCUUGUGAAUAAAUUGAGAUGUGCAUUAUGUGCUAUAUUGUGAUAUAAAUCUAUUGAAUCAAGUUAAUGAUUGAUGUUAAUUGAGUUAUGAAAACUUACUAUAUUCAUGAUAUGAGAUAUAUGAUAAGAAUGAAGCAGGUAUAAUUGCUGAGUAUGAGUAUUAUGAUUCCUGAAUAAAUGCAAUGUAUAAAAAAUAUGAAUUAUGUAUAAACUACGAAGUAUGAAUAAUUUAAGUUGUGUUUAAAAUGUUAAAAAUGUGUUAUGUGAUAACUUUUAAACCUGCUUGGCAACGAAGUUGCUCACCCUUGCUAUAAAUAAUUAUUUUCAGCUAAACCAGAGUGGAUCGAAUGAUUAAGGAUAGACAAAGGAGAAAGGAAGAAGUACUUAUUGAAUUUGUUCGUAUAGAUCUAGCUAUGCUAGAUAAUGUUCAUAUGACAUAUUGUAAUUGCAUAGUCAAAGAACAUUGUAUAGAAGAAUAGUUAAGUGUAGUUGUGAGUUCAUGGAUACUUAAAAUCAAUAUAUCCAAGUGAAAAAUAUUAUUUAUAAAUUGAAAUGUAUAAUUUAAAUCAAUAUGAUUUAAAAGUGUAACAUCAGGCUGUAAAGGUUGCAGAUUCUAGAAAUAGAAGGAAUUAAUGUAUUAAUUGGUAUCAAAGUGAGGUUGUAUUCAUUAUUUUAUGAAUAAAGGUUAUAAAUAUUCAUAUGAAGGUUGUAUAGUAAUGCACCAGGUCCGAGGUUCAAGGGACCCGGAUUUGGGGG